rnacentral:lncRNA from 1 species
CACGGGUCCGGGCCCUCCCGCGGGGCGGGUACUCGUCUCCCGGCCGAGCGACUUCAGCUUGGGGAACUGCCCCAUGGCCGCUCCCCAGCAGGACAGGGUAACCGCCGGAGUGGGGGGCUCCUUGUCCGUCCCAGCCCCCCCAACUCAGGCCCUCUCGCUGCCCCUGGCGACCACCGCGUGCGCCCUUCCCCAGGGCGGGCGCAGUCCUGGACGCCUCCGCCGAGCGUGACUGCCUGCAUUUUCUCUCCUUUCCCUUCCCAACCUCCGGAGAGAAGACAGCCCCAGAGCCGCUGUCUCCAUCCUCUGCUGAUGCCUGAUGUCUUUAUGUUGGCCUCGUCGUCCGCACUGCAGUGUGGCAGGGGCGUCCCUUGUUUCCUGCGGACUGAGUUCUGAGAGGAGAUCCUUAUCCCCAUCCCUGCCACAUGGGGGCAAACUGUCCAAGAACCAGGCCACUGAGAGGCGCAGACACCUGGCAUUGGGCAGAAGACCCAGUCCUGCCAACCAAACCUGGGUUUUGACAAAGUGAAGGUGCGUUUAACAAAUGGGUCCAGCAUUAAACCAGCGUCUAAGUAAGCACUGACACCUCAAAGCCACUGACAACAGAGAGGGCGUCCACACAGGAGGCAGAAUGCACAGUGCGGCGGGGUGGUGGGUCCCUGGGGUGGUGGGUCCCUCACCCGCGGGCCAACAACAGAGAGGGCGUCCACACGGGAGGCAGAAUGCACAGUGCAGCGGGGUGGUGGGUCCCUCACCCAUGGGCUCCCACGGCUCCUGCCACUCCCAGUGGAGCUGACGUCAGGGCGCCGAUGCCCUGUCCCUGAGGAUGGGGCCUUCCCACCCCCGCACAGGUGGGCCCAGCUGCAGCCACACCCCAGGGCCUCACUGCCUGGCUUCCUCUUGCUUGGGGUGACUUCUACACCCUGAUCUGAUGCCUGCACCAGC